rnacentral:rRNA from 1 species
UGUUCUUUAAAUAGGGACUAGUAUCAACGGCACCACGAGGGCUAUACUGUCUCCCCCCUCCAAUCAGUGAAACUGAUCCCCCCGUGAAGAAGCGGGGAUUUAUUUAUAAGACGAGAAGACCCCAUGGAGCUUUAAACCCAACGUACACCCCUCACUCAGAUACCAACUUAACCUUAAAGACUUGUACGUCAGUUUUAGGCUGGGGGGGCCACGGAGUAAAAUCAAACCUCCACAACAAAUGGGCUAACACCCUUAUCCACGAUUUACUAAUCUAAGAAUCACCAAAAUGAUGUUUAAUGACCCGAUAAUUCGAUCAAUGAACCAAGUUACCCUGGGGAUAACAGCGCAAUCCACUUCAAGAGCUCAUAUCGACAAGCGGGUUUACGACCUCGAUGUUGGAUCAGGGUAUCCUAGUGGUGCAACCGCUA